UACGUAGGUGGCAAGCGUUGUCCGGAUUUAUUGGGUUUAAAGGGUGCGUAGGCGGCUUAAUAAGUCAGUGGUGAAAGCCGAUCGCUUGACGAUCGAACUGCCAUUGAUACUGCUAGGCUUGAGUAUAGUUGAGGUAGGCGGAAUUGACAGUGUAGCGGUGAAAUGCAUAGAUAUUGUCAAGAACACCAAUUGCGAAGGCAGCUUACUAAAGUAUAACUGACGCUGAGGCAACGAAAGUGCGGGGAUCAAACAGG
rnacentral:rRNA from 1 species